rnacentral:ncRNA from 1 species
UCGGUUCCGGUUCACGUUCACACCGUGUGGACGACCCGGGGCACC